CUGCCCCAAGCUCUUUCCUUCCAUAUCUGCUCUACUUCAACGAAUGUGAGCCCUUUGGUCUCUGGUACAAACAGAAGCACAAACACAAUUGCAGCGACAGCCACACCAGCAAGAAUCAAGAAAGUUGCACCGGUUCCCACAGCAUUGGCAAGUGAAAGGAAAGUUUGGGCCACAAUCAAAUUAGAAACCCAAUUCACAGUAGCCGACAUUCCACCACAUAUCCCUCGAUAUGCCUCAGGGUAUACCUCUGAGUUCACAGUCCAUGGAACUGG
rnacentral:misc_RNA from 1 species